rnacentral:snRNA from 1 species
AGAUGUGAGGGUGAUCUGACUGCGAUAUCUGUCCCCUCUUUGAUCACCAGAGUCAGUUCGGCUGAUCUGGCUGUCUAGGUGGGUGUCCCCUUYCUCCCUCACCGCUCCAUGUACUUUCCUCCCUAAGCUGCAUGCUCUGUCAAAGAGGAUGACCUUCUCUGAUAGAGAUGUACUGUUCAUCAGUCAAGGGUGUAUGGUAGCUGCGCUCCCCCACUAGAACCUUUAAAAAGAGCUCAAGGUCCAUUUGUAGAAGAGCGUAGAGUAGUCAAGCUUCCAAGACCACAAACAUAUCCAAGUGCGGUGCUGCACGUGGCAGUCUGCCAUUCUUU